AUUGAACGCUGGCGGCAGGCCUAACACAUGCAAGUCGAGCGGAUGAAGGGAGCUUGUUCCUGGAUUCAGCGGCGGACGGGUGGGUAAUGCCUAGGAAUCUGCCUGGUAGUGGGGGCUAACGUCCGGAAACGGGCGCUAAUACCGCAUACGUCCUGAGGGUGAAAGUGGGGGAUCUUCGGACCUCACGCUAUCAGAUGAGCCUAGGUCGGAUUAGCUAGUUGGUGGGGUAAAGGCCUACCAAGGCGACGAUCCGUAACUGGGCUGAGAGGAUGAUCAGUCACACUGGAACUGAGACACGGUCCAGACUCCUACGGGAGGCAGCAGUGGGGAAUAUUGGACAAUGGGCGAAAGCCUGAUGCAGCCAUGCCGCGUGUGUGAAGAAGGUCUUCGGAUUGUAAAGCACUGUAAGUUGGGAGGAAGGGCAGUAAGUUAAUACCUUGCUGUUUUGACGUUACCAACAGAAUAAGCACCGGCUAACUACGUG
rnacentral:rRNA from 1 species